UAGGGAAUAUUGCUCAAUGGGGGAAACCCUGAAGCAGCAAAGUCGCGUGAGGGAGGACGGCCCUACGGGUUGUAAACCUCUUUUGCCGGGGAGCAACGGGCGCCACGUGUGGCGCCACUGAGAGUACCCGGAGAAAAAGCAUCGGCUAACUCCGUGCCAGCAGCCGCGGUAAUACGGAGGAUGCGAGCGUUAUCCGGAUUUAUUGGGUUUAAAGGGUGCGUAGGCGGAUCGUUAAGUCAGUGGUCAAAUUGAGGGGCUCAACCCCUUCCCGCCAUUGAAACUGGCGAUCUUGAGUGGAAGAGAAGUAUGCGGAAUGCGUGGUGUAGCGGUGAAAUGCAUAGAUAUCACGCAGAACCCCGAUUGCGAAGGCAGCAUGCCGGCUUCCGACUGACGCUGAAGCACGAAAGCGUGGGGAGCAAACAGG
rnacentral:rRNA from 1 species